CCCUUAGACGUUCUGGGCCGCACGCGCGCUACACUGACGAAGGCAACGAGCUUUCCUUUACCGAAAGGUACGGGUAAUCUUUUGAAACUUCGUCGUGCUGGGGAUAGAUCCUUGCAAUUAUUGAUCUUAAACGAGGAAUUCCUAGUAAGCGCAAGUCAUCAACUUGCGUUGAUUACGUCCCUGCCCUUUGUACACACCGCCCGUCGCUACUACCGAUUGAGUGGUUUAGUGAGGCCUUCGGAUCCGCGACUCGUUUUGUGGAGAAGUUGGACAAACUCAGUCAUUUAGAGGAAGUAAAAGUCGUAACA
rnacentral:rRNA from 1 species